rnacentral:lncRNA from 1 species
AAAUAAAAUUGAGAAUGGAAAUGGGGAAUGUGCCAAAGAGACAACAACCCGACCAUUGAAAAAAAACAACAGCAGAAGGUCACCAACAGGACUUCAAUGUGGCGAGAAAUUCCCGCACCCAGAGGCGUUCUUCAGCUGGCCCCUAAACAAAUAUAUACUAGUUCAGUGAUAAUGAACGCCAUACUAAUUUCCAAAUUGUACACAAGAAACUAAAAUUAAAAUAAUACAAGACUAACAAAGGCCAGAGGCUCCUGACUUGGGACAGGCGCUAAAAUGCGGCGGGGUUAAACAUGUUUGUGAGAUCUCAACCCUCCCCCUAUACAUCUAGCCAAUGUGAAAAGUAAACGCAUAACAAUACGC